rnacentral:SRP_RNA from 1 species
GCCGGGUGCGGUGGCGCGCGCCUGUAAUCCAAGCUACCGGGAGGCUGAGGCUGGAGGAUCGUUUGAGCUCAGGAGCUCUGAGCUGCAGCGGACUAUGCCGAUCGGGUGUCCGCGCUAAGUUCGGUAUCGAUAUGGUGCUCCUGGGGGAGCCCGGGACCACCAGGUCGUCUAAGGAGGGGUGCACCGGCCCAGGUCGGAGACGGAGCAGGUCAAAGCCCCCGUGCCGCUCAGUAGUGGGAUCGCGCCUGUGAAUAGACGCUGUAGUGCAGCCUGAGUAAUACAGCGGGACCCAGUCUUU